UAUUAAUUCACGAUGAAUGCAAGUUAAAGUAAAUGUAACUUGCAUUUCAUUAUGAACUAGUGUAGGGCCCGCGCUUCGCAGCGGAUAGAUCAUAUUUUAAUCAAAUUUAGAGUUGGUGCACGAUGUAAUUAAAACAGAAGUGCAGGAUUCUAAUUGAGUCUUUCUAAAAUGUGGCACAACUACUAAUAUUGAAUGUUCUAUAUCUUAUAUAAUUCUAGCCGCUUAAUAGAAUUAGUUUCAUUCAUUAUAAAAAAAGUAACGCUCUCUCUCUAUAU
rnacentral:lncRNA from 1 species